CAAUGGUAGCGAGAGAGGCUAAACAACUGGUUAUGGUAAGCCAACCCCACAAACCUUAUCUCAGUCCGGAUUGGAGUCUGCAACUAGACUCCAUGAAGUCGGAAUCGCUAGUUAUCGCAGAUCAGCAUUGCUGCGGUGAAUACGUUCCCGGGCCUUGUACACACCGCCCGUCACACCAUGGGAGUUUGUGCACCAGAAGCAGUAGCUAACCUCGGAGGCGCGAGCUGGCAACGGCUUG
rnacentral:rRNA from 1 species